AGAGGUGAAAUACAUUCUGGCAUUUUUAAAUUUUAUGUUAUUUUUGCUUUUUCAGGAUUACAGCUCCACAACCUUAACUCUGGAUUUUAAAAUGAUGUAUCCCCCUCUUUUAAGAAAUCAAAGGCUGGAGUAAACAAGAAGAGCCCAUCAGUAUGCCCAUGCUGUAAAUUAACAACGGCAAAGGGAUGGAUAGCCUUUGGUCCUCCACGUGUUUUGGACUCCAGAACCUCCAUCAUCCACCAAGACCAGUGAUGAAAAACUAUGGAGAUUGAGGCCCUAAACAUCGGAAAGACCUGUUCAGCAAUCACAAUAUCCUGCAAUAUAAUAUAUCUGAAGCCCUGGGAAACUUCAAUUGCCCUACAGAAUCCUGUGAGGAAAACAAUGGGAUAAAGCGCAUGCGAUAAUCUCCAAGGAUAUGCCCCAGGGAGCAGGUUACUGUACAAUGUUUCCACAUCCAAAUAAAGACUGGCAAUCUUUUUUGCUUUUCUUUUUUUCUUUCUUUCUUUCCUUCCUUCCUGUUUGAAUAAAAACAUAUUCAGUUAUGUGCAGUAAGAUUUGUACUCAUGCACCCAGGAUCCUCUGUAAGAUUACUAGAGAUUCUGGCAAAGCUGG